rnacentral:rRNA from 1 species
UACGUAGGUGGCAAGCGUUGUCCGGAUUUACUGGGCGUAAAGAGCGCGCAGGCGGUCGAUUUAGUCGCGUGUGAAAGCCCCCGGCUCAACUGGGGAGGGUCACGCGAUACUGAUCGACUCGAAGGCAGGAGAGGGUAGUGGAAUUCCCGGUGUAGUGGUGAAAUGCGUAGAUAUCGGGAGGAACACCAGUGGCGAAGGCGGGUAGCUGGGCCGACACUGACGCUGAUGCGCGAAAGCCAGGGGAGCGAACGGG